CACACAGCUCAUAUCAGAUUAUCACCGGCGCCGAUCGAACGCUAAAUAGACAGCUACAGUCCAGACAAGCUUUGAUUGAAAUACGAUAACGAGAUCGAGAUUGGAAAAGGAGCUCGAGGUCACGGACGAUGGCCGACUCGGACUCAGCUAGUGCUAAGCCUAAGGACAAGGCUAAGGCUACGCUAAAUCGGAAUAAGACUAAGUAAGACGGUAAGAGGAAGGAGAGAAACAAGCAAUGGCAGCUCGACCAUCCGGCCCAGAGGAGGCGCGGGAGUGGCUGUGAACAAGGCCAGGGUACGGCGGAGAAACUUCGCGAGCUGCAGGCGGCCUUCUCGUUGCCGAGUCUAGAGGAUGCAAUAGACAUGCCAGCUCACUGAGAGAUAUGAAGAACAGACAACACAAUCCAUCCCCAGCGAAGAAAUUCCAAGCAGCAGUAGGGGAAUUAGCAGGUGAAUAGUACAAGUCACCUUUGACCGCAAAUUCAUGGAGAACUUGGCCUACUCUGCUGAUUUGCUCGCUUCAGCUACCCAGCAAACCGGGCAAGGAAUUUGCUUGCGGUCAUCGACUACAUGGCACACAAGGACAGGCCCGACCAGAUUGAUGAACAAGGCAAUACAAAAUAUGUUGCAGUAUGGUCAAAGCGUGCCAACAACUACGUGGCCCGGAAGGAGAAGGUCCCCAAGACCUACCCCUACAUGUAUGUACAAGGACUCAUCGGUGCGAUACUGGAACGCAGAGAACAGGACCAAGGACCACUGUUCUCGAAGGCUGUUCUGCUCCCUGAUGACCCUAGACACACAAGGCCCCGGCUUGCACCAUUUCCUCCACCACAAGUUGAUGUGAUCCUAGCCAGGAGACUAGGCCGAUUAGAGAAAUCCAUGUAAUCCUCUGUAGUGAACAUUUGGGAUUGUCUGACUUGAGAACUGCUUUUUUUCGAGCAGAGACUAAGGGAUCCAAAUGGCAUCCUUCCGUCCAUCCUCCGUGACUGUACACAAAUUUGAAUGAAGUCUAAUGUGAAAUCUUACCUGCAAAAAUCAAUUAGGGUUGCUAACUUUCCAACCCUGCAUCUGUUUGUAACCAUACUUGAUUGGUAGAUGCCCUUUAUUGGCCUCCAUGAUAUUCUGGAGUUGAAGGUCACAUAAGUAGGUCAAAGGUCAAAUGAGGUUCUUUGUUGCAUGAUUGCAUGCAAGACUCUUAAUCGCCUCGAUUUAAUUUGUCCAUGUGGCAUGUUUUUAGGCUAUCUUGAGGAUUGGUUGGAACUUAACAUUUUGUGGUCCGGAGGUGAAAGAUUGCAUGGCUUAGCAUUACGAGCAUGUAUUCUUGAUAUGUCAGAGACCCUUUGACAAAAUACCACCAAACUUGAUACUAGAGUGUCCCUGGGGAUCAUGGGGAUGGGGUUAUCUGGAGAAAAAAAAUCACAUAACACAUGAUAUACAUGUACCAGAAAUAAAUUGUUAUUGUUGCUAGAUUAGCCACCAUGCUUGGCACUUGUAUAUUGUAUUACAAUAAGAGGUUGGCAAGUUUACAAAUGGAAGAAAUGUAGGAAUAUAAAAGACAAAUUGUGACAUCAGUGUAUAAAAGCUCUAUGUGAUUUAUACAAUUCAUAAUUUGUGAUAAAAUCAGUGCUUGCUCAUGUGGAAAUGGUGGAUAUUUCAAUUUGUAUCUAUUUGGCAACCUAUAUUCCUUGAAGAAGUUACGGUAGUAAUUAUAAAAUUUACAGCCAAGAGGUCAAACCAUGAGUCAACAAUGUGUUUGGUUUUAGUGACUGUGCAUGUAACUGAGGUGACAGUCGAUCAUGAAAAAGACUAUACUUCGGAACCUGUUGAAAAUCAACAUGGACAGAAGAAAGAUUUGUAGAAUAUCUUAUUGUAAAUAGUCUUCAUUUUUUGUUUAAUGCAAUCAAUGUGACUAAAAUAAUGCAAGCGAAAAAGAGAAAUGAUCACAAGACAGCAAAACAGUUGGUUUCAUGCAUCAUUUGAAUCAAUGAACGUGAAUCAGCUCAACGCCAAAGUAUUGCGGUUCAAGGUUAUACCAUCAAGAGAUAUGCUGCCUGUAACUACUUUGUAGUUUGAAAGGGUGUAUAAAGGAAUAAGGAUACAGUUGGGCAGGCGAGUCUUUCUGUUGGUCUAUUGUAAAAAACUGGGUCAAAUUUUUUCCAAUUUUUUUGCAAAUUGUAAUAAAACUUGGUAUACCGAUUGACCCGAGGGUGUGCAAGACACAUUUGUUGUGUCUGUCUGUUAAGGUACCUCCAUGGUAACCAAGCUUUGCACAAAGAAUACAAUUUUGUUUUAAUAAUCUUGUGGAGCAUAUUCUUUCCAAGUUUUAGCAAUUUUAUAGUUUUGGUAUCUUUGAUGAGGCAUUAUAAUAACAGUAUAAAACUCAAUGCAUGUGCAGUGUGUAAAAUAAGUAUGUGAGCAAACUAUUGGAAGUAGUUUGAUCGAUUCAUAUGAAACUCAGUACACACAACGCAGAAUUGUCUUUUGUGUGCGUAUAGGACAUGACCAGUUUUGAAAUGUCUGUGCUAUUUUUUUGAAAAACCUUAUGUUGGAUGUUAAUCACUUGAGGUGAUAUUCAUAGUCGAGCAUUAGGGAAGAUGAAAGACAUAUAUGUACCUAACUAUACUUAAUUUUGUGCUGAAACUGAUAUGAUUCAGGAUUUGAGAUCGAUAUGGAGUAUGUAUACAUGUAUACUCGUACACA